rnacentral:rRNA from 1 species
AUUGACCGCUGGCGGCAGGCCUAACACAUGCAAGUCGAACGAGUGGCGGACGGGUGAGUAAUGUCUGGGAAACUGCCCGAUGGAGGGGGAUAACUACUGGAAACGGUAGCUAAUACCGCAUACCAUCGGAUGUGCCAAGAUGGGAUUAUGUAGUAGGUGGGGUAACGGCUCACCUAGGCGCCGAUCCCUAGCUGGUCUGAGAGGAGGACCAGCCAAACUGGAACUGAGACACGGUCCAGACUCCUACGGUAGGCAGCAGUGGGGAAGAUUGCACAAUGGGCGCAAGCCUGAUGCAGCCAUGCCGCGUGGAUGAAGAAGGCCUUCGGGUUGUAAAGUACUUUCAGCGAGGAGGCGUUACUAGCAGAAGAAGCACCGGCUAACUCCGUGCCAGCAGCCGCGGUAAUUC